UACGAAGGGGGCUAGCGUUGCUCGGAAUCACUGGGCGUAAAGCGCACGUAGGCGGCUUUCUAAGUCAGGGGUGAAAUCCUGGAGCUCAACUCCAGAACUGCCUUUGAUACUGGAGAGCUAGAGUCCGGAAGAGGUGAGUGGAACUGCGAGUGUAGAGGUGAAAUUCGUAGAUAUUCGCAAGAACACCAGCGGCGAAGGCGGCUCACUGGUCCGGUACUGACGCUGAGGUGCGAAAGCGUGGGGAGCAAACAGG
rnacentral:rRNA from 1 species